rnacentral:lncRNA from 1 species
GUGGUCAGUCGGGCUUGAAGACAAUGGAGACGGCGGCUUGACGCGGCGGCGCUCAUGGCUCGGAAAAGGAAGGGCGACGGCGGCGCGCAGAAAAGGAGGGAGGAGGACCCGUCUAGGGUUUCCUUGUGCUAGGGUGGAGAGGAGGCGUGGCUGCGCUUAAGUAGGCGGCGCGGAGCCCUCCUGUCGCUGUCGACGAGGACGUGGCGCGGCCGCCCCCACUGCUUGGAGAAGAAAAGCAGAGGUAGAAGACGCUCAGUGAGAGGUGGCGUAUUCGGGAAAAUUACGCCUUCGCUGCUGGGAGGCGCAACGCAGGGCGGCGCGCGCGAAGCUGGGCGGCGGGUGCGGGCGCGCGUAGCUGGGCCGAGUGGGCUUGGGCCGACUCGGGCCGAAGGUAAGAAGGUAAGUUUUUCUUUUUCCUUUUUCCUUUUUCUGUUUUCUCUUUUGCAAAUAGUUUUGUUUGUACUUUGUUUUCUUGAUUCAAAUUUCAAAUACCAUUUUGAAAAGCUGAGGAGUAGGAGAGUUCAAAUAUGGUACUAUUAUUUGGAAAUAUUCAAAUGGGGGUAGAGGUUUAAAUCAAAACCCAUUCAAAUGUCAUUUGCAAAGGU